ACAAUGAACAUUCGGAAUAUAACUAACUAACUAACUUCCUUCCUUCCUUCCUUCCUUCCUCCCUCCCUCCCUCCCUGCCUUCCCUUCCUUCCUGCCUUCCUUCUUCCUUCCUCCCUUUUUUCUUUUCUCCCUUCCUUCCUUCUUAAUAUGUUUUUGGCCUUUUCUUUAUAUAUGUGGCCUAGCAAUAUCCUGUGUUUGGAAAAGUAUAAACCUAAGGCAUCACCUUUACAGAAAAUAUCUUCCACGGAAACAUCUAAAGUGAGGAGGUAAAGUUGCAUUCACAGGCCUUGAACUUUUCCACAUCUCGAUUUUUACCCAUCAUCUCUGAAUAGUUCCCUAAGGCAGCCUUCAAAUGGUGAUGUUUCUUAUAAUCCAGAGUUCAGAAGUGGCUUCUCUUCAAUCUUUCUGUGGAAUUCUAAACCAUGUGAUAAAGGAGCUGGUGAAAUAAUGUCUUGCUAUGUUGCCCAGGCUGGUCUCAAACUCUGGGGCUCAAAUGAUCCACCCAUCUUGGCCUCCCAAAGUGCUACGUGUGAACCACUGCACCUGGCCAAAAAUAUUUUACUAAGAAAAAGGAGUCACCUAUUGUAUGAUUCCAUUUAUAUGAAAUAUCCAAAAUAGGCCACAGAUCAGCCCUGGGGUUCAGAGGGAUCCUGACGGCUACUCCUCAAGAUCCUCUCUGUUGUGAUUCAUCCCCCCCGGGCCCUACAGUUUCUCCUUCCUGACUCUUACAUUUCUUUGGAUGGCAUCAUUAUUUACCUGUCUCCUCCCAUAGUUAGGUGCCAAGCACUGUGGAUUCUGCCCCUCAGUGUCCAGACACCC
rnacentral:antisense_RNA from 1 species